UCAUAGCAGUGUCGGCCUUCGGCCUCGCUAUCUACCCAUGAUCUUUUGCGCUACCGUUCGUUUCCUCGGCGGGUCUUGCCUGCCGAUUGGACAUCAUAAACCAUUUUGUAGUUGCAAUCAGCGUCUGAAAAACAUAAUUAGUUA
rnacentral:misc_RNA from 1 species